UUGUACCAACCGAGACGCAAGGGCUGUCGCCGACCGCAAGGUCGUGCACGCCCGAGCGCUCUCACCCUUAUCCGCUUCACACUUGUGCAUCACCGCGUGGUGCCUCCUUUUCAAAGGGGCUCACGUUUUCCACACAAACACCCGAGUUUAGAAUGUCUUUGCGGAAUGACACGCAAUCAAUA
rnacentral:misc_RNA from 1 species